GUACACAUUUCAUUGACCUGCUUUCUUUCAUGUAUGUGAGAAGGGUUUUUUUCUUAUGUGCCUACAAAUAAUUGAAUGUUAAUUAACAGUACAACUAUAUAGUAAUGCUGCCAGUCUCCUUCAGAUAAUU